CUCUUGGGUAACAACUCAAUUAUAAGUAACUCAUUGUAAACACUGAAAGUUUCAUUUGGUCGUGAGAGAUGUCUAUUUGUCUCUCUGUAUGAGUGUGUGUUUGUGUGUGUAUCUGUGUGUAGAUAUGUAUGUAUGUAUGGAAGAAAGCAUGAAGAAUGUAUGCAUGAAAGCAUUGACUAUAUUAGGCUUCCAUAUGACUUGUCAAGAGGACCUUAUUUUUAGCUGGCUCUCCUAGUCUUCCCUUCCUUACCCCUUUUCUCCUUUUUUUGUUGCAUCCUCCCAUUUCAGCCCUGCCCAUCUCUGUAGAAGUGAUUGGUAUACCAUGGUUCUGGGAAGACAUUUCAGAUCAAAAUCUUUUAUUAUCAAGAAAACUCAAGAAAUAAAUAUUCAUACUUAUGUUUAUUUACAAUUUUAAGCUUGGAAGUCAAGACCUUGAACAUGUUUGGAAGUGCUGGACCACUAAACAACACCCCCAGGCAUGUGUCAUUCUUUAUUCUGAAGAUAUAUGCUGGUAUUCAUUAGUUUUCAACUCACAGUAG